rnacentral:lncRNA from 1 species
CAUAUAAAUACCAUCAAAAAUGAACUAAGCACCACGGGAGGUGGCUUCCCUCCCAUCACUCCAACAAACGGAUAAAAGAGUAUGAAAUACCCUUUGGGGGUCUAACAUAGUUUGUAAGGUCCAUUGGUCAAUAUGCACCUGCGGUUCAAUCUAUAAGUUCAUGGGGUCUUUUAGGGUAUAUUUCAUUAAAAAAAAAUAUAAGCACCACCGAAAACGGACUUAGCAC